rnacentral:rRNA from 1 species
UACGUAGGGCGCGAGCGUUGUCCGGAAUUAUUGGGCGUAAAGAGCUCGUAGGCGGUUUGUCGCGUCGGUUGUGAAAACCCAAGGCUCAACCUUGGGCCUGCAAUCGAUACGGGCAGACUAGAGUACUGCAGGGGAGACUGGAAUUCCCGGUGUAGCGGUGAAAUGCGCAGAUAUCGGGAAGAACACCCGUGGCGAAGGCGGCUCUCUGGGACGGUACUGACGCUGAGACGCGAAAGCGUGGGGAGCGAACAGG